rnacentral:rRNA from 1 species
ACGGGAAACCGGAGCUAAUACCGGAUAAUAUAUGAACCGCAUGGUUCAAUAGUGAAAGACGGUUUUGCUGUCACUUAUAGAUGGAUCCGCGCCGCAUUAGCUAGUUGGUAAGGUAACGGCUUACCAAGGCAACGAUGCGUAGCCGACCUGAGAGGGUGAUCGGCCACACUGGAACUGAGACACGGUCCAG